rnacentral:lncRNA from 1 species
UUGAAUUUUUAAUUUUUUCUGUUUUUUUUUUUUUUUUCUGUCUACUGAAUUUGGAUUUGGAUUGUUGUUGUUCAAAACUCCUGAAUUACAUUUUGAAGUCAUUUAUUUGUGCUCUCUCUGGUUUUUAAAUCUAUGUAUUUAGAGCUUUAGAUUUCUAGGACUUCUACUAAUGUGUCUCGGGAUUUGUAUUACACUUGAAUUUAAAUCUAUUUCAAGCAGGACAUAUAAUUUUAAUUUCUUGAUUUUUUUUUUUAAAAAAAUCGUUCAUCAUUAAGUAAUAUGUUCUUUAGUUUUCAUGAAAUGCUUUAAUUGCUAGAGAUUUGUUGUUGAUUUAAAGUUUUAUAAUAUUGUAGUCAGAUAAGAUAUCUGGAGAUAUUUCAAAUUUUGGAGUUUGAAAGGUUUCAAAAGUUCAUGCCUGACUUGGUGCCAAAUGUCUCUCCCUCUGUUAUUUUUUUGUUGAGUUGUUUCUUCAAACCAUUCCCCAAUUCCUAUAAACAUUUCAUAUGUUAACUCUUUCAUUCCCCUCUUUUUUUUUUUUUUUCAGACAUCUUGGAUAACUCUUUUUGAGCCAAGUUCUUAUGUAUAUCCAUCCACAGUAAAAACUCUUCUUGAGUUAGGCAGGCUCUGGCCAUUUUAAACCAACCACGAAGAGUCCCAAGCAAUUUAAAUUGCAAAGGUUCCUCUAAGUGAUCCUAAUCCAUACCUAAAGAUUCUCCCUGUUAAAACAAAAACAAAACAGUUUUAGAGGCAGGCAGAUUUCUGAGUUCGAGGCCAGCCUGGUCUACAGAGUGAGUUCCAGGACAGCCAGGGCUACACAGAGAAACCCUGUUUCAAAAAAAACAAAAACAAACAAAAAACCCCAACCAAAGAUUCCCCUAUAGCUGAGGUUGGCUUGUGGCAGCAGCAGGCCCGAUAGGCCCCUUCCAUUUCUUUUUAUGUUUUUCAGGGGGUCUUGUGGAAUUGCUUAUAUUUCAAUGCUGCGUGGUAGGCCAGUUACAUUUAUGAUGUUUUGUUAAUUUCCUUUCUGAGUCAGAUUCCUCCUCUGAUGUUUAUUUUUCCUCUUCUGAUGCGUCACUGCCCUCUCCUGAGCUCUUUUUUCAGCCUUUUCUGUAGAGGGAUAAACAUUGUUCUUAGAUCCUGAGUGAAACUGUAGCGACGGAGGUGAAGCUAGUAUCUUCUGAGCACCUAUGACUUUUUGUCAUCCACCAGUGCCUUCCUAAGCGUAUUCCAAAUAGCAAUCACUGUAAGGGGCAUGUCGAAUCCUCCAGUCUCUGUAAACCAGUUCUCCCGUGUAUGCACAUCUACAGUUACCCCUUCUGAAAACCAAGGACUGACUGACUGUACAAAGUGAAGAAAGGCAGUCGGCUGGCUAGUGCCAACCUUAAUGCCUGUUUCUUUAAGAGUAUGAUUAAUACCAUCUGUAAAGAACUCUCUGUAGAUUUUACUUUGCCCCAUCCUGAUUCAAUUCAGUGCUUCCAGUAGUUGAUGGAAUCUCUGUUGGUAGCUACAAACUAUUUACGUUUACAGGGUCAGUACCAGAUAGCAGGCCAGUGCUUAAUACUAGCCAAUAAAACUCCCACUAAAAGUGACAAGCAGCUGUGUAUUUAUCAAUAACCUAUUGGAUGCCUCUUUCAGGCUGAACACACAGAUCCCAUUUUAGAGCUUUAUACUUAGCAGCAAACAAUCGGGGUGCCUUCUUUUCAGGUGGAAGGGGCACUGCCUUUUCAGGCAGGGGUGCUUUCUUUCCAGUUGUCUUCUUUCAGGCCACACAGAUUCGGAUUACUUGCCGGACCUAAACUGAUUUUCACUAAUCAGUGGGCUAGCUAGGCCCUGGAUGAGAUCCUAACUCUUUUGAGACACACACAGACUUUUGGGGCUUACCUCAAGAAGUCCCUGUUCAAGGUGUCAUUAGUGAUGCUGGAGGCCAGCCCUGGCUGUUCUUUCUUGUUCCUUCUUCUUGAGGCAGUGGAAGGAGAACAUCAGUGCGGGUUAAGACUUGGUCUUAUGAGGUAUUUAGGGUUGCUGUAUAAUAAUAAAAUGUUUACCUAUCUUAAAUCUUAAGUCACUUUGCUUCGGUAGCUGGCCUGAAGUUCCUCUGAAGCAAGAAAUUGUUUAGCACCUCAUUGAAAAACAGCAGGGGAUUCAGUAAAGUAGCCUUUGUUUCUAUCUCCACAGGAACUGCUCAGCUCUAACACCCAGCCUGCUAGUUGAAGUUGCAGGAAGAAGAAGGGACAGUUUGAGAAGUGAUUUUAGCCUUUAUUUCUAAGUUCUAAAAGGCUUUCUAUGAAAGUUCUCUAAGAAAAAAGUGGGGAAGAGGGUUGUCUUGGCUCUUUGUCCUUAGCACUCAGACAUCUUUUAGAAUACAUGAUCACAUGGUAAAAAGUUCAUCACAAGUUUACACAUAAAUUCAAAUCAGAGAAUGUUUACAUGCCUAUCCAUAGGAGUAAGUAUCUGGCUAAACAUCCACUAUCUGUCACUAGUUCUACAGGUUCAUGGAGAGCUAAAAAUCAUAACUUUUGUGACUAAGUUAUGGAGAAGUUUUGUAUAGGUAAACCCAGUCAAUAUUUUAUCUUCCAACCUUGCACCUAUAGUAAAUCCUUAGUUCCCUUUUUAUGACCCUUUGUUAAUUGUUUUACAACCUCUUGGAAUGUACUUCAAGUUGUAAAUGCCUGCUUGCUAUCUCGGAAGCAAUUAAGUGGUGACACGUGAAGGCUGACAGAGUUCUCAUUGCAGUUUUGAUAACAGAAAGGACUGAAUGACAGUCCUAUAAUAAAAGAGCUUAAUAAUUACUAC